GGAGUAAAAGUCGUAACAAGGUUUCCGUAGGUGAACCUGCGGAAGGAUCAUUAUUGAAUGAAACACUUCUGGCUUUAUGCUGUUGUGCUGGCCCUUUGGGCAAUGUGCACACGGCUCUGGUCACUUGUUUCUUCUGUUCCACCUGUGCACUGCCUGUAGACACGCUAUGUCUAUGAUAUUUGUUAACACACAACAAUGUUAGUUGGCAUGUUAUAUAUAAUAAUAAAAUAUACAACUUUCAACAACGGAUCUCUUGGCUCUC
rnacentral:misc_RNA from 1 species